GAGUGGCGAACUGGUGAGUAACACGUGGGAAACCUGCCCAGAAGCGGGGGAUAACACCUGGAAACAGAUGCUAAUACCGCAUAACAACUUGGACCGCAUGGUCCGAGUUUGAAAGAUGGCUUCGGCUAUCACUUUUGGAUGGUCCCGCGGCGUAUUAGCUAGAUGGUGAGGUAACGGCUCACCAUGGCAAUGAUACGUAGCCGACCUGAGAGGGUAAUCGGCCACAUUGGGACUGAGACACGGCCCAAACUCCUACGGGAGGCAGCAGUAGGGAAUCUUCCACAAUGGACGAAAGUCUGAUGGAGCAACGCCGCGUGAGUGAAGAAGGGUUUCGGCUCGUAAAACUCUGUUGUUAAAGAAGAACAUAUCUGAGAGUAACUGUUCAGGUAUUGACGGUAUUUAACCAGAAAGCCACGGCUAACUACGUGCCAGCAGCCGCGGUAAUACGUAGGUGGCAAGCGUUGUCCGGAUUUAUUGGGCGUAAAGCGAGCGCAGGCGGUUUUUUAAGUCUGAUGUGAAAGCCUUCGGCUCAACCGAAGAAGUGCAUCGGAAACUGGGAAACUUGAGUGCAGAAGAGGACAGUGGAACUCCAUGUGUAGCGGUGAAAUGCGUAGAUAUAUGGAAGAACACCAGUGGCGAAGGCGGCUGUCUGGUCUGUAACUGACGCUGAGGCUCGAAAGUAUGGGUAGCAAACAGGAUUAGAUACCCUGGUAGUCCAUACCGUAAACGAUGAAUGCUAAGUGUUGGAGGGUUUCCGCCCUUCAGUGCUGCAGCUAACGCAUUAAGCAUUCCGCCUGGGGAGUACGGCCGCAAGGCUGAAACUCAAAGGAAUUGACGGGGGCCCGCACAAGCGGUGGAGCAUGUGGUUUAAUUCGAAGCUACGCGAAGAACCUUACCAGGUCUUGACAUACUAUGCAAAUCUAAGAGAUUAGACGUUCCCUUCGGGGACAUGGAUACAGGUGGUGCAUGGUUGUCGUCAGCUCGUGUCGUGAGAUGUUGGGUUAAGUCCCGCAACGAGCGCAACCCUUAUUAUCAGUUGCCAGCAUUAAGUUGGGCACUCUGGUGAGACUGCCGGUGACAAACCGGAGGAAGGUGGGGAUGACGUCAAAUCAUCAUGCCCCUUAUGACCUGGGCUACACACGUGCUACAAUGGAUGGUACAACGAGUUGCGAACUCGCGAGAGUAAGCUAAUCUCUUAAAGCCAUUCUCAGUUCGGAUUGUAGGCUGCAACUCGCCUACAUGAAGUCGGAAUCGCUAGUAAUCGCGGAUCAGCAUGCCGCGGUGAAUACGUUCCCGGGCCUUGUACACACCGCCCGUCACACCAUGAGAGUUUGUAACACCCAAAGUCGGUGGGGUAACCUUUUAGGAACCAGCCGCCU
rnacentral:rRNA from 1 species